GACGAACGCUGGCGGCGUGCCUAAUACAUGCAAGUCGAACGCAGUGGGGACGGGUGAGUAACACGUGGGUAACCUGCCAGAAGAGGGGAUAACACUUGGAAAAAGGUGCUAAACCGAUACUGAUUGAUGGACCCGCGGGGCAUUAGCUAGUUGUUGGGGUAACGGCUCACCAAGGCCACGAUGCAUAGCCGACCUGAGAGGAUGAUCGGCCACACUGGGACUGAGACACGGCCCAGACUCCUACGGGAGGCAGCAGUAGGGAAUGUUUGGCAAUGGACGAAAGUCUGAUCGAGCAACGCCGCGUGAAUGAAGAAGGUUUUCGGAUCGUAAAACACUUUUGUUAGAGAAGCGUUAUCUAACCAGAAAGCCACGGCUAACUACGUGCCAGCAGCCGCGGUAAUUC
rnacentral:rRNA from 1 species